UGAAUUCAGAUCAAGAUCAAGCCAAAUCACUGCUACCCGAAGGUGAAUUUUCAGAAACUUCAAGUGUCUGAUUCUCUCUCAAUUAUCCACCAUUCUCUUUGAUUAUUGGUUAUCUGAAGUCCUACCGAUGUAGGCAACAAGAUUGAGUUACUUUGAGGUCAAAUCGAAGCAACUCAGAUCGUGUACCUCAAAAUUCAAUUUCUCAUAUCUCUCAAUAUAUUUGGAAUUGGACAAAAUUGAGGCCAGAUUCGAGCUCCAGAGCUUUUUCUCUUUAAAAUAG
rnacentral:lncRNA from 1 species